ACAGACAAAGUGACAUUCCUGAAUCUGAAGCUGGACCCCAACCAGGCUAAAUUUGGGUACUGGGUGCUGCUGGCCCUGGGCUUUGUCAUGUCUCUGGUGGUGCUGGGGCUGGCCUGCAGGCUGCACUCCCUGGAAAAACAGUCACUGACCCAAGACAAUGAGAUAUUCAGCCCACUGCCCAAUGCCUACUUCCUGGGCAGAGCCAUGGAACCUGCCAGACUGUUAAAAGACAGUGGAUGCUGCUGGGCCCGUGCCUUGUCCUGAUGCUGUGCUCAAUCAGCCUGGCCAUCUGGAUUUUCACAGAGUAAAGCAGGAAGCCUCUGUGGCCAGCCUGUCCAACAGAGGGGCAGCCAGGACAUCUCUGCCCCCUUCUCAUCCGCCAGCCACAGUGGCCAAAGAGGCCACCACUAGGCACUGUGGCUCUGCAUGACAAAGGCACAUACAUCCCAGGACUCCAAGCCUGUCACCCGGACUCCAGCAAAAACCUCGCUGAGCCUCAUUGUCUAUCCUCCCUCCCCCACCCACCAUUGUAGAGUUUAUGUCACCAGAAUAUUUCUUUCAUGUCUAAUUGCUUAAGAACUUGGUUUUUCAUCAAUUAAAUCCAGAUGUUCAAAAUGG